CAAGGAAAUUGUGGAGAUAAUGACAAUAUUGAAGCAAACGUUGGUAAUAAUAUGAAACAGACGUUGGUGAUAAUAUCGAAACAAGUAACUUAUAAAGCAUUUUUAAAUUUUUAAAAAGAAAUAAAAAUACUUUUCAAUAUAUAUCUGUUUUCUUCGAGGUAGAUUUAAAAUUUCAGGUUUUUAAAAUCAUAUAUAUUAUAGUAUUAAAUUCUUUUU